GAUGAACGCUGGCGGCGUGCCUCAAACAUGCAAGUCGAGCGGGGCUAUGUAAUAUCGCAAGGUAGAACAUAGCCUAGCGGCGAACGGGUGAGUAACACGUGGGUAACCUGCCUGGAAGACAGGGAUAACGAUUCGAAAGGGUCGCUAAUACCUGAUAAUAUCCUUUCAUCGCAUGGUGAUAGGAAGAAAGGGGAAACCCGCUUUCAGAUGGGCCCGCGUCCCAUCAGCUAGUUGGUAAGGUAAAGGCUUACCAAGGCGACGACGGGUAGCCGGUCUGAGAGGAUGUCCGGUCACACUGGGACUGAGACACGGCCCAGACUCCUACGGGAGGCAGCAGCAGGGAAUCUUGGGCAAUGGGCGAAAGCCUGACCCAGCGACGCCGCGUGGAGGAAGAAGUCCUUCGGGGCGUAAACUCCUGGACUGGGGACGAGUAAGGACGGUACCCCAGUAGAAAGGGACGGCGUAACUACGUGCCAGCAGCCGCGGUAAGAGUACUCUAU
rnacentral:rRNA from 1 species